rnacentral:lncRNA from 1 species
UGGGUCCUCAAUGCUCCUCAACUUUGUAUUUGUUUUGGCUUUUUAACUAUUUUGAUCUGAGCGUCACUGAUGAGUCUUAUGUAGACGAAACGCGCGUCUGGCGUAUAAAAUUAUAAUCCUGGUACUUUUGAUAACUAUUUACACCACUGGGUCGAUGCCACUGCUGGUGGACGUUUCGUCCCCGAGGGUAUCACCAACCCAGU